UAAUAUCGUUCGCGAUGAACCACUGUG
rnacentral:sRNA from 1 species